AUGGCCUCUGGUUUUCUCCGUUAUAGCAGAUUUGUUGACAUACUGACUUUGUUAAACACACAUUGUAUUUCCAGGGUGCUGUUGCUCUCACUGUUGGCCUUCAGCAAGCAUGCUGAGUCUCUUACUUACAGGAGUACCUACUCCAGUGGUAUUAAGCCUUACUCUGGGAUGGCUGAGAAUUUUCCACACAACCAGAAUCCUGUUUUCAGACAUAAGAGCUAUGCACAACCCCGAAGUUCUCUGGGUGUUUAUGGGCCUGAACAUGGGUCACCUGAGAAUUCUUACCCCACUGCUGCAGGUAUGCCUGGUGGUGCUGGUGCUUCCUCUGGUGGGCCAUUAAAUGGUUACCAUCAACAAGGAAGCAUGUCUAGCUACAGAUCUGGCUCAUCACAUUACCAGGGGGAUACUGAUGGUGCCCUCCAGUCCAAAGAUGCCAUGUGGGGUUUAGCUUCACCCCAGAAAAGAAACCGGAUUGACACAGGAAUUGUCUCAAGUUAUCCAAUUGAGAUGCGUUCUGUGCCCCAGUGGCAAAGUAAUGAGCACCAGACCCAGCCACACCCUGAGCGAGAACAGUUUAGCGACUUUCAGUCUCGCCCGCUGCCCCAGCAGCCGCGCUACGAGGCCAGCAAGCCCCAGGCCCGGCCUUUCCCCCAGCAGCCGCGCUACGAGGCCAGCAAGCCCCAGGCCCGGCCUUUCCCCCAGCAGCCGCGCUACGAGGCCAGCAAGCCCCAGGCCCAUCCGCGCAGUGAGGCCAAUUCUCCAAGUGAAGAUGUGCUGCAAAACAAAGCUAGCAUGUGGGACUUGGCUAUUAACUCCAAUGCUGAUCCAAGAAGUUUGAGACCCAUUCAAGUUUCAUCAAGUUAUCUCUACAGCUGGCCACAGCAACAGGCACCCUUCUACAACAGAUAUUAACAAUAGGUUUCUGACCUCACCUGUGAACAGCUGGUUUUGGCUUGGCAUCAGAUUUUGUGAUAUCAAUAAAGUACACAGAACUACACUCCCUGGCUGCUGUUUAAAGCUCCUUUGACCAUGAGUAAGUUCAGUUUUAUGCAUGCUCUCAUGAUAAACUGAGCUGCUCUAUAGAUCUAGGCUUGUACUGUUGCUACCAUAAUGUUGCCUUCCAGUAUACAAACUGAAGCUGUAAGCCCCAAAGACUGUCACAGAAUUGUCUUACAGUUGUGUAGCUUAGCAAAGCAAAUCUGCUUAGCUUGUCUUAAUGUUUCAACAAGUGUUCAGUGUUCACAACCACAAUUUUCACUUCAAGAACAAGGGGUGGAAACAUGGCAGUUUAAUGCCUUCUAUCAAUGGCAAAAAUUACAGUCCACUCAGGACUACAACCAACCAGAUGCUAAACGAAAAAUGGUGGUAGUCUGCCAAGCAGGUGCUCACUAUCAGGGAAAAUUAGGGAUUAGCAUCAACCAAGGCAGCUCAAAGCACAAGCAGCAAUAUAGCUUUGAAAGGUGUGGGUGUCAGUUUUUGGGUCCCAAUUGUGAACUAUGACCAUUCCUUCAACAUCAGUGUCACAUUAGCUGUUCUCUUUUUCUGCCUUAAAGUAAAUUGUCCUAAUGGGCUCAUAUUAAAGUUUGUUUUUAUUCUAUAGAGAUUCUCAUCUCACUAUUCAUGUGCCAUAUUUGUCCUUAUGCAAGAAGACUUGAGUCUUGAGUAUUAAUAUAAAUAUCUCAUGGAUUUAUGAUAUUCAUCAAAUGCUACUUCUUUGUCUUUUCACUUUUCUGCUGCUUCUUGCCCAAACACCGUCCCACCCCUCCUCCUCUCUGAUAGCUGUUAUUAGUUUAGUCGUCUCCAGUUUGGGGAGAUAAUGACAGUGCUGUUUUUUGGACACUGACUUCCUGUGUGUGUGGUGUUUCUCCCUGUCAUUAAGCAGCAAGUCUGUGUGGUUAAAAUGACACAGCUUUGACUGCAGGAAACACUGCCAACUUCACCAUCCGAUCCCAGCUCCAAUAAACUACUCACUGCUGGUUUUCAGCUUUCAUACUGUCUGUUGCUUGUUUGGGGGUUUCAGCAUAUUUUCCUUUACUUGAGUUUUACAAUAAAGAUAUUAUAGAUAUUUUAUAGCACACUGCUUACAGUACACUGUUGUGGUCUUUGCUUUACAUCAAAUGAAAAUGCACUUUAGUCAAAAGCACAUUGCACUUCAUCUGCAGUGACAUAUUUGUUGUAUGGAUCUUUUACUGGACGUCCCACAAUGUCAUUUAUACAGCGCCAAAUCGCAACAACAGUCACCUCAAGGCGCUUUAUAUUGUAAGGUUAACCCUACAAUAAUACAUACAGAGAAAAACCCAACAAUCAUAUGACCCCCUAUGAGCAAGCACUUUGGCAACAGUGGGAAGGAAAAACUCCCUUUUAACAGGAAGAAACCUCCGGCAGAAACUGCAUGAAAGGCUGUGGUUUGCAAGGUACCAGAUGUAAAGCAACCAAGGCAGAUACAGCUGCUUAAAUCAGUCAAACUCUAUUGAACAUUACUUUUCAAAGUGUUUCACAGAUUAUUAAAAAGCUGAUAAAACAAAUGGCAUGCUUUAAUAACGGACAUAGAAUUAACAAC
ensembl:lncRNA